UACGAAGGGGGCGCGCGUUGUUCGGAAUUACUGGGCGUAAAGGGCGCGUAGGCGGCGACUCAAGUUAGAUGUGAAAGUCCUGGGCUUAACCUGGGGACUGCAUUUGAUACUGGGUUGCUUGAAUUCGGGAGAGGAUAGCGGAAUUCCCAGUGUAGAGGUGAAAUUCGUAGAUAUUGGGAAGAACACCGGUGGCGAAGGCGGCUAUCUGGACCGACAUUGACGCUGAGGCGCGAAAGCGUGGGGAGCAAACAGG
rnacentral:rRNA from 1 species